CAGAAUGCUUGCAAUUUUCUGCAUUCUGAUGCCUAAACAUCUGGAAUGGGAAAAGGGCAGUUGCCAAGAGACAAACCGGUCACGCUCGGUAAGUAACAUUUGUCUGAAUCACAUUAAAUUUAUAGACGAAUGAGUUCUUUCCGUUGCUUUAUUACUUGACUGACAUAAAAGGGAUUUUAUAUUUACGUAUUUAAAGAAAACAAUGUACCAGUUUGUACUUUGUCCCUUUGAUUUCUAUUCAACUUCAACUCAAUUAUGGGGCGAAAAUUUGCAAAUAGGGCACCAAUUCUUCACCUGCAGCCAAUUCUGUAUGCAUGUCACGUGAUACCUAUGCUCACACUGCAACAUCCCUACUUCAUCUCCAUUUACAUAUUCUUCCUGAAAAACAAAAAUCCAUGAAUUCUAUCUGGUUGAACUCAAACCAGUCCUGAUAUGAGAUGACCAGAGCAAAACUAGCAUAAAGUUUGCAUUGAUAGAUGGUGUGGAAAGUUCUAUAGGGAAGCACCUGACAUAUACUACAUUUGGUAUCAUCCUUUUCACCGUCACAGUCGACACUAGCACCUUCAUAGAUGCUUUUCAUAAGGCAUUUUGACAAUGCUUCUUCUGAUAGCACAGUGCUCACAUUACCCAUCCUUUCUUCUAGAUCUAGUAAUUCCUGUCAUGAUAUCAAGCAAAGCUAAUCUCCAUUGUUUUAUCUUUAACAAUAAACUUAGACUAGAAUACAUCUUAGUGAUGAAACAAAAACAAACCUCAUAUGACAUAUUGUCUAUAUCCAGCCUCAUGUCACUAUGCUGGUCGUAAAAGUUUAGGCCAUCAAGAAACAAGGUGGUCUCUAGAGCAAGUAAUUGCUGCAAGACAGAAACCGAAUCAACAAAAGACAACCCAUCGGGUAGAAAGAGACACUUCAAAACUAGUUACCUCAUGUGUCAAAUCUUCAUCUUGUUCGAUCCUCUCUAAUGCUAAUAACACCUGCAUAAAAAAUAAAACAAUAGCGAUAGAUGAAGCUUCAGUACUUCAAACAAACUGCUAAUGCUUUAUGUUAGCCUCUCUCUAGAGAGUAUAUUCAGUCCCUUCCUCAAGUUCCACAGAAAGAAGGAAUAUAGAAUAUAAAGAUAUAAAUAUGUUAAUAUACCUCCCCAAUGCCAUCAAUAUUGUAGUGCCAGAAGCUAUCACGGUUAACACCGACUUCUGAAGGACUAGAUGGCAUGGUAUCGAGUAAACUCUCGCUUAUAUUGUCUGGUUGAGUGUAAGAACUAGCACGAGUUGAGGCAAUUUCUGUGGAAACAGGAUCAUUCAAAUUGAUAGGUAUAUCAGAUCGAGGCACUUGGGGCAUGAUCACGUGGUACUCGUUUGAACUUAACCUAUUUCCAUUUGCUUGGUUAGAGAAUCUCCCUCUACCAUAACUACUGUUUGACCUCCUGGUCCGAACUGAAGCAG
rnacentral:lncRNA from 1 species